UGGAGUGCUGGGAUUAAAGGCAUGCACUACG
rnacentral:piRNA from 1 species